rnacentral:rRNA from 1 species
AACGAACGCUGGCGGCAUGCCUAACACAUGCAAGUCGAACGAGACCUUCGGAUCUAGUGGCGCACGGGUGCGUAACGCGUGGGAACCUGCCCUUAGGUUCGGAAUAACUCCCCGAAAGGGGUGCUAAUACCGGAUAAUGUCUUCGGACCAAAGAUUUAUCGCCUUUGGAUGGGCCCGCGUUGGAUUAGCUAGUUGGUAGGGUAAAAGCCUACCAAGGCGACGAUCCAUAGCUGGUCUGAGAGGAUGAUCAGCCACACUGGGACUGAGACACGGCCCAGACUCCUACGGGAGGCAGCAGUGGGGAAUAUUGGACAAUGGGCGAAAGCCUGAUCCAGCAAUGCCGCGUGAGUGAUGAAGGCCUUAGGGUUGUAAAGCUCUUUUACCCGGGAUGAUAAUGACAGUACCGGGAGAAUAAGCUCCAGCUAACUCCGUG